AUAUCUCCGCCGACACCAGCGUAAGCCCAGACCCACCUACCCUUUACAAUAACUGUUUGAAAACUCUGCUUCCCAUGACAAUGGCUUCGAUUGCACUCCAUUGCCCAAGAAGCUAACUACAACUACUACUGCGACUGCGACAACGGAAAAGGAGAUCAUUGCCAGUUCAUAUCCUUCUUUGUGUCAUUUUCACAAACAAUUUGCAUCCCCUAUAUCUCUCAGUCGGAUCUAUAUGCUCUUUGCAAAGAAAAGGUUUCUCUUUUAACGAAGUGCCUCUCUGACUGCGUCAUUUGAGGCUCAUAGAUUGAUUCGAAUGGACGGUGCUGACGGGACGGUGAGAUUGGGGGCUAUCAACUUGAAGCCCGAUCGGGUCCGCUUAGACUCAGGUCCAGAUGUCUCCGUUUCGUCGCCCGUUACUAGGCAGAAAGCCGCGGCUGCCAAGCAGUUCAUAGAGAAUCAUUACAAGAACCAUCUUCAAGGAUUGCAAGAUCGCAAAGACAGACGUCGAGCACUUCAAAGGAGAGCACAAGAAGCUCAGGUAUCUGUUGAGGAAGAAGAAGAGAUGCUGAGGAAUUUGGAGCGAAGAGAAACUGAAUACAUGAGGUUUCAAAGACGCAAAGUGGGAAUAGAUGACUUUGAGCAAUUAACCGUAAUUGGUAAAGGUGCAUUUGCUGAGGUCAGGCUAUGCCGUGCUAAAGAUACGAGAGAGGUUUUUGCCAUGAAGAAAUUGAAGAAAUCAGAGAUGCUUAGCCGUGGACAGGUUGAGCAUGUUCGAUCUGAGAGGAACUUGCUUGCAGAGGUUGAUAGUCGGUGCAUUGUAAAACUCUUUUAUUCUUUUCAAGAUUCUGAUUUCUUAUACCUUAUCAUGGAGUAUUUACCUGGUGGGGAUAUUAUGACAUUACUGAUGAGGGAAGAUAUUCUUUCUGAAGACGUUGCACGCUUUUACAUAGCAGAGAGCAUUCUAGCUAUCCACUCAAUUCAUCAGCACAAAUAUAUACAUAGGGACAUAAAACCAGAUAACCUGAUCCUGGAUAAGAAUGGCCAUUUGAAGCUUUCAGAUUUUGGAUUGUGCAAGCCUCUGGAUGAUAAGUAUUCAACAAUAUUGCUGGAAGAUGAGGAUUUUACCAUCCAGGAAUCCACAGCUGAGACUGAAGGACAUUCUGGCUAUGAUAGAGCACCUUGGUUGAUGCCAAAGGAGCAAUUACAACAAUGGAAACGUAAUCGUCGUGCAUUAGCUUAUUCAACGGUUGGAACUCUUGAUUAUAUGGCACCUGAGAUUUUGCUCAAGAAGGGGUAUGGAAUGGAGUGUGAUUGGUGGUCACUGGGAGCAAUCAUGUAUGAGAUGCUUAUUGGCUAUCCUCCCUUCUGUUCUGAUGAUCCAAGGAUCACAUGCCGAAAGAUAGUCAAUUGGAAAACGUGCUUGAAAUUCCCUGAGGAACCAAAAAUAUCGGAGGAGGCCAAAGAUCUGAUAUGUCAUUUAUUAUGUGAUGUCGAAACAAGGCUGGGUACCCAAGGAGUGGAAGAAGUAAAGGCACAUUCAUGGUUCAGAUCCAUUCAGUGGGACAUGCUGUAUGAAAUGGAAGCUGCAUAUAAACCUACUGUAAAGGGCGACUUGGACACUCAGAAUUUUGAGAAGUUUCCUGAUGAACUGCAACAAGGACAAGGUGAAGACUAUAAAGAAGAAACUUCAUUAUAUCUGCUGGAACCAGCUUUUCAAACUCGUGGAAGGUCCACCAUCAACAAUACCAACAGUGGGACCCUGGCGGAAGAUGUUGACAUCAAAAGAUACAAACUUCAUUGGAUUUACUUUCAAGAAGUCAGAUGUCCUUAAAUCACUUGAAGAUUCAGGUAUGGAUAUGGGUUCAAAUGGAUCGUCAAAGGCCCCAUCACUAAUUUCCUUGUUAGGUCGGAUUGACUUGCAAGGAACUGUGAUACCAGAGGGGGAGCAGAAGCACGAGGAAACUUGAGUUAACAUCGUUUUGUUGUGCUUCAAUUCGAGUAGGUAUUAUCAUUCUCUUCACAAACAAAGAAGAAGCUGCUGCAAGAGACUGGUUUCGGUUAGAAUGGGUAGGUGAAAACAUGAAUAAGCUCCAUGAUCUUGAGCAUAAUUUUAAUUUAUACAAUCAAAGAAUGUAUGGGUGAUGCUGUAAAAGCCAAUAUCAGUUCUAAAUGUCUUCCCCAAGACCAAAAAGCUAAAUUGUACCUUAUAUAGUUCUCUGUAUAUCCAAUGUAACAUAGCAUCAGCUCAUUCAAUUUUGUCUGUGGAAGUUGAUGUGUGUCUGUAAAUUAUACGAUUUUUUCAAUGAAUGCUUUGGAUGUUGUUGUUA